rnacentral:rRNA from 1 species
UACAGAGAUCUCAAGCGUUGUUCGGAUUCAUUGGGCGUAAAGGGUGCGUAGGCGGCGCGGUAAGUCGGGUGUGAAAUCUCGGAGCUUAACUCCGAAACUGCAUUCGAUACUGGCGUGCUUGAGGACUGGAGAGGAGACUGGAAUUCAUGGUGUAGCAGUGAAAUGCGUAGAGAUCAUGAGGAAGACCAGUGGCGAAGGCGGGUCUCUGGACAGUUCCUGACACUGAGACACGAAGGCCAGGGGAGCAAACGGG